rnacentral:rRNA from 1 species
UACGUAGGGUGCGAGCGUUAAUCGGAAUUACUGGGCGUAAAGCGUGCGCAGGCGGUUUUUUAAGUCAGAUGUGAAAUCCCCGGGCUUAACCUGGGAAUGGCAUUUGGGACUGCAAGGCUGGAGUGCGGCAGAGGAGACUGGAAUUCCUGGUGUAGCAGUGAAAUGCGUAGAUAUCAGGAGGAAUACCGAUGGCGAAGGCAGGUCUCUGGGCUGACACUGACGCUCAUGCACGAAAGCGUGGGGAGCAAACAGG